GAGCUCAUCUGUCUCAGCCCCAUUUAUUUCUCCUGGGUGAUGAGAAGACCUGUGCUUCUCCGUUAAAAGGCACUAGGAAAGAAGGAGUUAAAGUGAAGGCAGGCUCGCUGGUUUGCUGAGAUCUGUCAGAGGCUGACUGGCUGGCUACAUAUCUGUCUCUGGAACAAUAGGUACCUGUAUUCUGCAUGGGCUGCUGGGCAGGCAGUACUAACACUCUGGAGAAGGUCUGCCUCUGUCUGAGCCUUCCUGGUGAGAUUCCCCAGUAACAGUCCUACUUUUCAGAGGAGAGAGAGAGAGAGAGAGAGAGAGAGAGAGAGAGAGAGAGAGAGAGAGAGAGAGAGUUUGAGGCUGUCUACUCUGUUGAUAGAGGACAAAGCUUUGAUCAUUUUUGUUCAGGCUUCACUUGGUGAGAGGUUUUAGGUUCUUAGUCUCAAGUCAGUAGUUGUGCUGCCUUCCCCCCCCCUCCCCUUUCUUUCAUAUUCUCUUUCUGCCGCCCUCCCUCUCUCAUUUCUCCUCAUAGGUUCAAUGCAGGCAGAUGAGUGCCACAGCUGUAACUGAGGCGUAGAAUAAUCAACACAUCGGAGCCAAUCCCCCUGACACCAAGAGGGGAAUCCGGCAGAGGUGACCGACCGCGAGGACAAGACCGUUCUUCUGACAAGUUUUAGGUAAGGGAACAUUUAUAUACAAUUCUUGCAUUUCUGAAUCUCGGUGACUGAGAGAGACACUUGUGAUAAAAAGAAAGGGAAGUCGUUGUAGGUAAAUAUUUUUGAGAGGGCAUCCUUCUUGUUGUCCGUUGCUUGCAGAACCUGUCAGUGUUUAUGCGGGGGCUUUGUGUUACUAGAAUCUUCAGAGGUGAGGUGUGAGCAGGACUGGAGGAAGGGUGAGCUGCUUUUUAUGUCUGUAUGGUGACAUUUACCAUGCUGUUUAAAUCUGUAUCUGUUAAAAAAAAAAAAGAAAGAAAGAAAAUAGAAUUUCUGUUUGACGAUAGUAACGUUUUGUGCAAGGCAGAGCAUAUGGCUGUGCAGAAUUCAAGUGGCGUUCUUUUAUUUUUAAUUUGUAAUUAUUUUUACAUUCAACUGUACUGAGGUCAGAGAGUUUUAAAAAUUAAUGAGAUUCCCUGUGGAGUUCAAAUAGUAAUAUCUACGUGAGCCUCCACAAAGAGAUAAGAUUAGGCCAGUAUAUAUGUAUUUUUUUCUUUCUUUCUUUCUUUUUUUUUUUUUUUUUUUGGCCAUGAUUUGGCUGUCUUACUUUGAAUACACGCCAUCUGAAGCAUAUGUAGGGUUCAAUAGUUUCUGGGAGUUGGUGUGAUUUGGAAGACUAGCCCUUAAUUUAUUGUUUAGUGACCAAGAGGCAUGGAGCCCCAGUUAGACUGCUGAGGAUGAACACUGUUAGGUGGGGACAUUCCUAAAACUUCACAGACUUUAUUGUCAUGACAAUGGAGCGAGUCUUAGACUUUCGAGGAAAGAGCAAAUGAUAAAUGAGGCAACGUGCUAAGAAGAAGAAGAAAAAGAAAAUCUGCGAAUGUGGCUUUAUUUUAAGUACUGUGUGAAAAUUCUAGGUAAAGACAGUUAUUUAGGAUCAAAGCUUGCUGGUCUGAACAAAGAGGCAAAGAUCCGCACAGGUGAAAAUUCUUUGCCACAAAAUGAAUCUAGAGCAUAGAUUAAGGGCAGGAAGUGAUUUGGUGAUUCACUAUUUUAUUUUAUUAUUAUUUUUUUAACCUUUAUUCUUGCCCCAUAAAGGUAGUUCACUGGGUUGAGUCCAGGCAUUUACAACUUUGAUUUCCCACAAUUUAAAAGCAUUGUUUGUGUGUCCGUGGUCUAAGACGCUGUUUAUAGGAGAGGCACUGAGAAGUAGUCUGAACAGAGGGUAAUCUGGGCUUCCAUUUACAAGAUCCAUUCAGGUCUUCCUGUGAUAUAUUGUUAUGUAAAUACUUUUCGGCCAGGGAGAGCUGGGCUAUGGAGAUUCAAUUUACUUUGAAAGUUGUUCAUUAUAGCAAGGAUGAAUGUUAUUUAUUUGAUGCGAUUCAAAGACUGGAAAUGACUUUUUCAUUGUGGUACUUUUUGUGAUGGGUCCAGGGUGAUCUAAUCUUUUUAAUUUUGGCUUUCACACCAGUGGAGAUGAAAAGAGAUCUGAACUCAUUUAUCGGUUGCUAGGUCUUUCUGGAAGCCCAAGUUCUGUUUGUGGUUGCUAUGGUCAGGCUGACCUCAAUCUCUGUGGUUUGAGGGACUUAAGCAGUCAUUUUUUUUCUUUUCUUUUCUUUUCUUUUUUUUUUUUAAUUGAGGAGCAUGUACCUUGAUUUAUGUCCAAAACUGUAGCUGAAUGUCUUUGUCUGCGGGUGAUAUAUGGUGCAGAACAAUUCAUCUGUUCUUACGAGUAAACACCGCUGUCCCACUAAAAAUAUGUUUUGUUCGGAGUUAAUGGUAUGGAACAAGGCAUUCUCCACAAAUAGCUAUCUUUUAUUGUGUUGGGGCCGCGGAAACGCUGAGCAAAGUGCAGGAAAUUGGCAUCAGUCCUCGCGUCUAUUAGCAUUUCAUUUGUGAGUCGCAUGAUAAGACCGGUAGGUGGACAGAGGGAGCCAGGAAGGGUUGUUUCGACAUCUUCACUUUCUCAACUGGGACCGCCUAGCCUGACCCGCAUUCGCCAGGACCCAGUAAGUCAGCGUUAGUUCCCCCUGACCCGGUGAGCAUCGUUUCGCCCAAGCGCUAAAGCACACCCAGGCGGACGUGCUGAGGCUCAGCGCUGGGGACCGGUAUUCUUAGGCUCCUUGAGGGAAAGUUGCUGGGUCCGAUCUCGGCACCACCCAGGACUGUAAUGUCUAUGCGCUACUGAAUGGUCCCCGGUCGCCUGCUUUCUAGACUCUUGUUAGAAAGGAGCCCGGGUGAAUCAGAGGCUAUGGAGAACGCAGCCCAAUUCAGCAGAUGAGCCGGAAUACAGUCCUGCUCCCUUAAAAACUGCUAAUUGAUGGAUGCUGCGGGGGAACAGACACCGCGAACGAGGGCAAAAUAGGAAUCAGGAGAGGCACGUAUUGCCGAUAGCACCACCGAUUUCCUUCUCAAAGCAGCUUGAUGAGCUCAUCUGUCUCAGCCCCAUUUAUUUCUCCUGGGUGAUGAGAAGACCUGUGCUUCUCCGUUAAAAGGCACUAGGAAAGAAGGAGUUAAAGUGAAGGCAGGCUCGCUGGUUUGCUGAGAUCUGUCAGAGGCUGACUGGCUGGCUACAUAUCUGUCUCUGGAACAAUAGGUACCUGUAUUCUGCAUGGGCUGCUGGGCAGGCAGUACUAACACUCUGGAGAAGGUCUGCCUCUGUCUGAGCCUUCCUGGUGAGAUUCCCCAGUAACAGUCCUACUUUUCAGAGGAGAGAGAGAGAGAGAGAGAGAGAGAGAGAGAGAGAGAGAGAGAGAGAGAGAGAGAGUUUGAGGCUGUCUACUCUGUUGAUAGAGGACAAAGCUUUGAUCAUUUUUGUUCAGGCUUCACUUGGUGAGAGGUUUUAGGUUCUUAGUCUCAAGUCAGUAGUUGUGCUGCCUUCCCCCCCCCUCCCCUUUCUUUCAUAUUCUCUUUCUGCCGCCCUCCCUCUCUCAUUUCUCCUCAUAGGUUCAAUGCAGGCAGAUGAGUGCCACAGCUGUAACUGAGGCGUAGAAUAAUCAACACAUCGGAGCCAAUCCCCCUGACACCAAGAGGGGAAUCCGGCAGAGGUGACCGACCGCGAGGACAAGACCGUUCUUCUGACAAGUUUUAGGUAAGGGAACAUUUAUAUACAAUUCUUGCAUUUCUGAAUCUCGGUGACUGAGAGAGACACUUGUGAUAAAAAGAAAGGGAAGUCGUUGUAGGUAAAUAUUUUUGAGAGGGCAUCCUUCUUGUUGUCCGUUGCUUGCAGAACCUGUCAGUGUUUAUGCGGGGGCUUUGUGUUACUAGAAUCUUCAGAGGUGAGGUGUGAGCAGGACUGGAGGAAGGGUGAGCUGCUUUUUAUGUCUGUAUGGUGACAUUUACCAUGCUGUUUAAAUCUGUAUCUGUUAAAAAAAAAAAAGAAAGAAAGAAAAUAGAAUUUCUGUUUGACGAUAGUAACGUUUUGUGCAAGGCAGAGCAUAUGGCUGUGCAGAAUUCAAGUGGCGUUCUUUUAUUUUUAAUUUGUAAUUAUUUUUACAUUCAACUGUACUGAGGUCAGAGAGUUUUAAAAAUUAAUGAGAUUCCCUGUGGAGUUCAAAUAGUAAUAUCUACGUGAGCCUCCACAAAGAGAUAAGAUUAGGCCAGUAUAUAUGUAUUUUUUUCUUUCUUUCUUUCUUUUUUUUUUUUUUUUUUUGGCCAUGAUUUGGCUGUCUUACUUUGAAUACACGCCAUCUGAAGCAUAUGUAGGGUUCAAUAGUUUCUGGGAGUUGGUGUGAUUUGGAAGACUAGCCCUUAAUUUAUUGUUUAGUGACCAAGAGGCAUGGAGCCCCAGUUAGACUGCUGAGGAUGAACACUGUUAGGUGGGGACAUUCCUAAAACUUCACAGACUUUAUUGUCAUGACAAUGGAGCGAGUCUUAGACUUUCGAGGAAAGAGCAAAUGAUAAAUGAGGCAACGUGCUAAGAAGAAGAAGAAAAAGAAAAUCUGCGAAUGUGGCUUUAUUUUAAGUACUGUGUGAAAAUUCUAGGUAAAGACAGUUAUUUAGGAUCAAAGCUUGCUGGUCUGAACAAAGAGGCAAAGAUCCGCACAGGUGAAAAUUCUUUGCCACAAAAUGAAUCUAGAGCAUAGAUUAAGGGCAGGAAGUGAUUUGGUGAUUCACUAUUUUAUUUUAUUAUUAUUUUUUUAACCUUUAUUCUUGCCCCAUAAAGGUAGUUCACUGGGUUGAGUCCAGGCAUUUACAACUUUGAUUUCCCACAAUUUAAAAGCAUUGUUUGUGUGUCCGUGGUCUAAGACGCUGUUUAUAGGAGAGGCACUGAGAAGUAGUCUGAACAGAGGGUAAUCUGGGCUUCCAUUUACAAGAUCCAUUCAGGUCUUCCUGUGAUAUAUUGUUAUGUAAAUACUUUUCGGCCAGGGAGAGCUGGGCUAUGGAGAUUCAAUUUACUUUGAAAGUUGUUCAUUAUAGCAAGGAUGAAUGUUAUUUAUUUGAUGCGAUUCAAAGACUGGAAAUGACUUUUUCAUUGUGGUACUUUUUGUGAUGGGUCCAGGGUGAUCUAAUCUUUUUAAUUUUGGCUUUCACACCAGUGGAGAUGAAAAGAGAUCUGAACUCAUUUAUCGGUUGCUAGGUCUUUCUGGAAGCCCAAGUUCUGUUUGUGGUUGCUAUGGUCAGGCUGACCUCAAUCUCUGUGGUUUGAGGGACUUAAGCAGUCAUUUUUUUUCUUUUCUUUUCUUUUCUUUUUUUUUUUUAAUUGAGGAGCAUGUACCUUGAUUUAUGUCCAAAACUGUAGCUGAAUGUCUUUGUCUGCGGGUGAUAUAUGGUGCAGAACAAUUCAUCUGUUCUUACGAGUAAACACCGCUGUCCCACUAAAAAUAUGUUUUGUUCGGAGUUAAUGGUAUGGAACAAGGCAUUCUCCACAAAUAGCUAUCUUUUAUUGUGUUGGGGCCGCGGAAACGCUGAGCAAAGUGCAGGAAAUUGGCAUCAGUCCUCGCGUCUAUUAGCAUUUCAUUUGUGAGUCGCAUGAUAAGACCGGUAGGUGGACAGAGGGAGCCAGGAAGGGUUGUUUCGACAUCUUCACUUUCUCAACUGGGACCGCCUAGCCUGACCCGCAUUCGCCAGGACCCAGUAAGUCAGCGUUAGUUCCCCCUGACCCGGUGAGCAUCGUUUCGCCCAAGCGCUAAAGCACACCCAGGCGGACGUGCUGAGGCUCAGCGCUGGGGACCGGUAUUCUUAGGCUCCUUGAGGGAAAGUUGCUGGGUCCGAUCUCGGCACCACCCAGGACUGUAAUGUCUAUGCGCUACUGAAUGGUCCCCGGUCGCCUGCUUUCUAGACUCUUGUUAGAAAGGAGCCCGGGUGAAUCAGAGGCUAUGGAGAACGCAGCCCAAUUCAGCAGAUGAGCCGGAAUACAGUCCUGCUCCCUUAAAAACUGCUAAUUGAUGGAUGCUGCGGGGGAACAGACACCGCGAACGAGGGCAAAAUAGGAAUCAGGAGAGGCACGUAUUGCCGAUAGCACCACCGAUUUCCUUCUCAAAGCAGCUUGCACGGACUAUCCUCAGGAAAAUGAGAUCCAGGAGAAGUGACGCCCUCCUCGAACUGAAAGAUACUCAUGCUAAUGGUGUCACGGAAGAAGCGAUGUAUCGACAGCUCAGGAUGGCUGCAGGGGACAUAUUCAGACGUGGCCCAGAUUGUCUGCCCAUGGGGACUGAGAUACCUCUGAGAUUUAUAUCAGAUCUCCACAGUCUUUGUCGCUGUAUUUUGUUAGAAAGAAAGGCGAGGCUGUUUCUACAGGUGCCACAGAAAAAUCGAUGCCGAGUCACGGAUUAUUGGAUCCCACAGAACCAUGGAGACUUGGCGGUGAAAUUCUUCUAAAGUUUCUUCUGGCUAUCAGAGAGUUGAAAGGGGAAAAAAAAAUAAAGAGCCAAAGCUGUUUCAACUUCUUGGUUGUUUUACUCCAUGGCUUAGCAUUCCAUCUGCGCAGGCAGAGGUGUUCCUGGUUUGGGAAGUAUAAAUCCCGCGGGAAGUCAACUGGAGAACAUUUUACGCGUCCGUCACUCAUCCUAUUAUGAGCCUGCUGCUCUUCCUUCUCUGGACAAGGCCACCGACUAGAAGAGCACAGAAUUAUUAAAAAGAAAACAAAAAAAAAAACCAAAAAAAACACAGCUGAAAGUGAACGUCUUUGGAUUUCCCAUUUAAUGAGUUGGCAGCUAAAGGACAGGAGCAGCAAUAAGGCUGCCUGGCUACAUUUUCAUAGUGCCACCAACUGCGAGUUAAGCUGACAAACAUUUUGAGAGCUCGGCCCAUUUCAUUCACAGCAGGAUGGCAGGAGUUAACUAACACUGUAAAAAAAACCUAACUAAAAAUCGUGCCUUUACUGCACAUUUGCACAGAAUCUCAGGACUGAAAGUGUCGAAGUUCUGCUCGACAAGCGGGUGACUGAUUGUCCCUGCCAGCUGGCUAAUAUCAUAAUUAGCAAAGUUGCUACCACAUCUGCAAAGUUUAAUCGAAAAAUUUACCAGUGGUAUGAUGGCAUUGUCACCAUGAUCCCAAGGGAAUCGGAGUCGACUUCUGCUUCAGGAGGAACGGCAAGGCUGUAUAGCUGAGAUGAGAAAUUGUAAACUUGCUCAGCCAAAGGUUAUGCUUCGCAUCACCCACCAGGGAGGAUCAUCUCUCAUGAAAACUUUCAAAUUUGAUUUUGAAAAUUUAUUCAGAAAAAUUUAAGCCACGCUCUUUUUCAACACAGAAAAUAAUAUGCUCCAGAGAAUCCUCUAAUUCACAGAAAAUGGACUCGGAUAACAUUUGGGUUCUCAUACUACCACAGUUCUCUUGAGAAGGACAGCCAGGAGGCUAAUAAUGAAGGGGCCAGGGAAGGAGGCCAAUGCUACAAGGGUUAUCUCUCAACCUCAGAUGUUGGAUAAGUCAGGGAACAGCGUCGUUUCUGGAUGGCUUCAGACAGGCCGGACUGACUGUUUGGAAGAGAAAAACCUGCUUAUUCUUUCAAAGGUACAUGAAUGUUGUCCACACCUUCCCGUCUAAAGGUUAGAAUCUUGCCUUAGACAAAGGAUGCUCUUGGAGUCCCACCACACCUAAAACCACGCUUUGAAGGAUCUGCCAAGCUCACUUUUAAUCAUGAGAAAGAAAUUACCCACAUGGAGACAGCAGAAAAUGAGAAAGGAGAGAUCGUGCUGCGAAUAAUUCCAGCGAGUGCCAAGGGGCUAGUUGAGGAAUGGCUUCAUGAGGUGAAUAUCUUAGCUUGUACUUAGAAUUUGGUUAGCGUAUAAUCAGUUUCUCUUUUAGGAGCGAAUACAAUCCUAAGUGUAUUUCCCAUCUGAGCACCGCUCAGGGCAUUUAUCAGGAUGUUGACAUAUUUAAUAUCGGCCUCGUCCUCGCCGUUAUUUAUGAUGACUAAUUUUACACUUAUAAAUAUGCAGAAAUCGAUGUAGGUGGAAAGGCUCUCUGAGCCCCAUGUCUGUCGCUAGCCGUCUGUCUUCAUGUGCAGCGCUCUGCUAGUGUGGCCUGUCCAGUAAUGUGUGUCUCUGUGUAUGUGCGUGCUCUUGUUGUCUCCUCUCCGCUGUGAAUGUGCAUUGGGAGAAUUAGCCUUAUGACAGGAUAUCAAAAGAUGGGCCCAAGACUUUCAUUUUUGGAAUGGAAAGAAAAAAUAAUGCGUAACACUUUGUAUCACAUCAGUUUCAAUUCUUCCUGAGAGGGAGGGGGCCAAUCAGGUAUGAGUCAUCACAGGGCAAAGCAACCAGGAUUCAAAUUGAACAUCACCUUCAGUGUCAAAUUAGUUGAAAGUCCCCCUUUUCCUUUACGGUGACUGGCUGAAACCCCUGCCAUUAUGUCUGUUUGUUUUAAAAGGGUGGGGGGAGCUGCCUGAGUUCAUCCACAGUGCCAUGUAGCUUUUCUUUGUUUCAUUUUUCUAAGGAUCAGAUCCAAGAAAAAUAAUAGGUUAGUAAUUCAAGACCAUCACUACUUACACGGUUCUCUCCCGGGCAUGUCAUUUCUUUGGGUGCCAAGUUUCAUCAAGAUCACUAAGUAAACAAAUGAGCGAUAACUUUUUUGCUCCUUUUUUCUUUUAAUUUGACUAGGGAGUAAGAACUGGGAAAGUCAAGUGUCUUUAUGAGUCACAGAGGAAGAAUGCAGGAACCCCCACCCCCACCCCCCAACUUCUGGUCUCAGACUUUGAUUUCCCACACAACCAAGUCACGGGAUCGCCAUGCCAACCUUAAGCAAUUUUGGCUCCCAGCAAUCCUGUGCUGGGGAAUCUUUCAAACUACCCUUCAAUCCGGGUCCAAAGGGCCACAGCACAGACUAGUAGAAAGAGUGCAUUAUCUGAGAAAGCACCAGGCUGCUUUCCCAUUGGUAUAUGUGUUUGGUGCCACGGUUAAGCACCGCUGGGGUCUAAUACGUGGAUGACCCCCUUUAUAGAGUGUGGGGGCUUCUGAGGAAAAGGCAAGCAUUGACUAAGAAAAAGAGUCAUUCUUCCAUGUGUUUUCAUAAAAGGACAAGGCAGGCCUCUUUGAGAGCUUCUGAAAGAGAAGAGGCAUGGGAGGAGAUGAGCCAGCUGGGGGUGGGUUGUUUUGGGGAGGGGAGCCAGCUGGGGAAUGGAGAGAGAGAGAGAGAGGCUGGGGAGAUAGCCAGCUGGGAGAAGAGGUAGGAUAAAGCCAAGGCACAAAGGUACAGGCAGAUGAGCAGCUGUGUUUAUUUGAAUACAUAUCAUUUAACCCUCACCUAAAAACAAAUUGGAGAGGUUUGGGAGUGCAUUAAUCUGGACCCAAUUAGCAUGUCUUUCCCCUUCAAAAGGUGCAACCUGAGAUUAAUGAAUAUCAACCAGAGUUUCAGAAGCAGCACUUAAAUCAUUUGCAUGUUUGUGCAUGAUAAUUGGAUUUAUGUAUGCACUUCCUUUCAUUUAACUAUUUCCAGUCUCCUUAUGAGUGAGUCAUACAACCCAAAACUUCAUUCGAGUGAUUUCUAGGUAGAAAUAGCUUACCUAGCAUUCUACCCCUAAGGGGGGAAAAACUCAAGUGGUUGUACAUUUUGAAUUUGAAUACCACAUUUCUUUCUUUUAUUAUUAUUUUUUUUAACAUAGAGGGCAGUUGAUAAUAGUGUGGAAUGCUGCUGCUUCUGGAGUUGGUAAAUAGGCACCACAGAUUUAUCUUUAAAAGGCUAGGAAAAUAAGGAAAUUUCCAACAUCAAGCUUUCAUGGCUUCCGUGUGGCCACUAGUAAGAGAUUUUAUAAUGCUAGGAACGAGGCCACUUGAAUGCCGCAUGGGGAAUGUUCUUGGUGUCUGGACCUGUGGCAAUUAGAUCACAGAGACAUCAGCAUCCAGGAUGGUUUAUGGCAUAGUUAGAAAUGUGUUUCUAUAGAAAGAGAUGGGAAUGCGGUCAACAUCUGUGAACUGCUGUGGACAGGCAAGGAGCAUUGUGAACCCUUGAUGCUGUGGGUUUGGUCCUUCUCAUUUCCUCCCUCCCUCCCUUCCUUCCUUCCUCCCUCCCUCUCUCCC
rnacentral:sRNA from 1 species